AAAGCUGCUUGGUAAAAUAAGCUGCUGUUUGCCUUGGGCUCAGCUACCAAAGACGCUUGUCUCAGAUCUUCGAGCAAUCAUGUUGUUAGCUGAAGGAAAUGAUCAUUCAAAGUCACCUUCAUCUUCCUGGACUUCUCUGAGUAUCCACACCUCCAGGUGGCCCUGUUCCUGGUGCUCCUGGCCAACUACACCCACCAUCACUGUGCUGGGGAACCUGGGCAUGAUCCUGACCAUCAGGGGUAUCCCCAUGCUGAACCCCUGAUCUACAGUCUGAGGAACAAAGCUAUGAAGGAUGGUGCCCGGAAGGUGAGGAGUCACCUCACACAGUGAUGCUGAACUUGCCUGUGUCCACGGGGAUUUGGUCAACUCCAUCAAAGAAUUCUUCCUCAGAUUUGAACAUGCUCAUCAUUUCUCCACAAUCCUGAAGCAGUCCUGGAAGUCCCUUUCUGAGGAUGUCUUUAUUUGUGCUGCCAAGGAGUCUCGAUGUCCUGAAUCAACUCAAAGUUUUUCUUUUCCUUUCCAUUUUGAGCUUGGGAAGAGCUGGAAGUUGUUGUAGGAUGACAGAUUCAGUGAACAGUUGAAGAAUAAGGUGAAUGGGAUGCAGAAGGUUAAGUAGCACAGAGUUUUCCUUACAUUCUUUUAGACAUUCAAAAGUUCAGUAACUUUAAGACCAAAGUGAAAGAUAAUGCUAUGACACGGGAGGUAGACUUUGUGGAAAUGGGAAGUGGGCCUGAGCAUGGGAGGG
rnacentral:lncRNA from 1 species